rnacentral:rRNA from 1 species
UACAGAGGGUGCAAGCGUUAAUCGGAAUUACUGGGCGUAAAGCGUGCGUAGUCGGUUAUUUAAGUCGGGUGUGAAAUCCCCGGGCUCAACCUGGGAAUUGCAUUCGAUACUGGAUAGCUAGAGUUCGGCAGAGGGAAGCGGAAUUUCCGGUGUAGCGGUGAAAUGCGCAGAUAUCAGGAAGAACACCAAUGGCGAAAGCAGCUUUCUGGGACGGUACUGACGCUGAGACGCGAAAGCGUGGGGAGCGAACAGG